UACGUAGGGGGCAAGCGUUGUCCGGAAUUAUUGGGCGUAAAGCGCGCGCAGGCGGCAUUGUAAGUCUGUCGUUUAAGUUCGGGGCUCAACCCCGUAUCGCGAUGGAAACUGCAAGGCUUGAGUACAGAAGAGGAAAGUGGAAUUCCACGUGUAGCGUGAAAUGCGUAGAGAUGUGGAGGAACACCAGUGGCGAAGGCGGCAUCCUGGACCGACACUGACGCUGAGGAGCGAAAGCCAGGGGAGCAAACGGG
rnacentral:rRNA from 1 species